rnacentral:lncRNA from 1 species
UUCAAAUACCAUUUAUGCAUUCUUAUGUUAAGAUGUGAUGCAGUCCCUCUAACUGGAUUGCUAAGGGCACCUCAUGCUGUAUUUCUUUGUAAGUGCCAUGGUACCGUCCAUGACGCUUUGUCUACCACCAAGCAGCUGGAGUUACAAACACUGGAAACUCUCAGAGGAAGGCCGAGUGUCCCAGUGUGCCCAGAAGAGGGCAUAUCAGGUAAGCUGUGAGGCAGCCAGCUCUGGAGACCAAGAAGUCCACUUCACAAAAGGUCGAAUUGGCCUUGAUACAUCCUUUUCCCGGGGACCACUCACGGCAGAGUGGAACUGAGUAGGGAGAUCCCCUUGGCUGCUUAAUCCACUUGCAAUGCUAAAAAAGUUAGGGAAUCUUAGGGUUUAAAUUCUGCAUGAUAUUCCUGUUUGCCACCAGUCAUCAGUGAAUACUGCAUUGUUUGCCCAUAAUGACUCACCUCAACAGACAGUGUGCCUGAAAGUAAAACAGAGGGAGAGAGACCAGAGAGCAAGGGUGGUGGUAGUUCACUGAGUUCAACACACCUCAAACACGCAGCGCUCCUGUGUCAUAAUGGAAACAUCAAUCUUGAAAGAAUUACAUCAGUCUCAGAAGACACCCGUUGCCAGGAAGAACGCCGCACCACAGAGCCAGUCAGCAGGGCUGGUUCUACUUAUCUCCGAAGAUCAAACACACAGGAACACUGGAAUCGUCCACAGAGGGCCUCUAAUGAGCCGCGCCUCGUGUGGAGAUUGACAAGACAAGGCCCAAAGUUUUUCAUCGAUAAAAGUUGAACAAGAACAGGCAGCUCCUGCUUCCCUCGACCUCAGUUCUGCUUUAGCAGAAAAACACCCGAUGCUGAUAUUUUCCAUAAGCAGCCAGAAGUCAUGUGUAAAGCUGCAGCACAAAAUGGAUGGAGCCUUCGGGGGCCUGGGGUGCCCACAGAGCAUCACCGCAAAGGCAGAGGGUGCAGAGUAUGCAGAGAGAGUUGAGCGGUGGGGACGCUGUUCCUGGUCCAUCGUGCGGUCCUUACCUUACAAAAUUCACGGACAGAGGAAGGAAGCAAGGCUGCCUUCAAGUGCCAAAGGAGGUGGGCAUGCGGAUGGCCUCGUGUGGCCUCCCCUGACAUCCCCAUCCUCGUGGGCCAGUCUCCCAUCCUGCUUGGGGCAGGUCCUUGGUGGCGGGGUGUGUGGGGUGACCUCGUGUGGCCUCCCCUGACAUCCCCAUCCUCGUGGGCCAGUCUCCCCUCCUGCUCGGGGCAGGCCCGGGGAGGGGGCGGGGGGGGGUAUCGCAGCAACUGGAUACGCUGCCACCUCCCGAGUCAGGGAGGAGAAAAUGAAAGAGCACCGCGGUCCAUCCAUCUCCCUCGGCAUGUUUAUACGUCCU